UCCUUUCCCUGCUCAACGCUCUAAUUUACCACCGCAGGUAUACUCUUCUAAUUAGGCAAUUAGUAUGUUGAAGUCGUUGCUCCACUGUUGCUCUCUCCAAAACCUAUAUUGAUAUGUAAUUGUGAUUGAGACUUUCAGUUGGGUCUCCUCUACUGCCUACGCUCCGAAUGAAGUUUCGACGCUGAGGAUGCACAAACAUGGAAGCUUCCGCUUCAUCUCCUCUGAAUUUGUAAUUUUGAUGAUGCUGUGUUUUCCAAUUCGCAGCCUAUUUGCCUUGAAAUUCGUUCCCUGCACCGAGCCUGCUCUCUUUUCUCUUAGUUGUUGUCAACGUUGAGCUUCCAUGUUGAUAAUACGCCGCAUCUCCAGUGGUGGUUGCAUACUCCAGUUCUGACGAAGGCAAUC